CCCUGCAUGCUCCUUCUUGAGCACUUUUGGGAUGAGAAGCUGUCCUCUCUGACCACAUAUUGCUUUUGCUUUCCAGAGGAACAAGCUGCACUGUUGGCUUGGAGAAAGUUUCUGCUUCCUGAAAAUCCAGACGUGGUGACCCUGGAUCCAAACACGGCUCAUUCUGGACUUGUCCUGUCGGAG